rnacentral:rRNA from 1 species
AGAGUUUGAUCAUGGCUCAGAUUGAACGCUGGCGGCAGGCCUAACACAUGCAAGUCGAACGGUAACAGGAAGAAGCUUGCUUCUUUGCUGACGAGUGGCGGACGGGUGAGUAAUGUCUGGGAAACUGCCUGAUGGAGGGGGAUAACUACUGGAAACGGUAGCUAAUACCGCAUAACGUCGCAAGACCAAAGAGGGGGACCUUCGGGCCUCUUGCCAUCGGAUGUGCCCAGAUGGGAUUAGCUAGUAGGUGGGGUAACGGCUCACCUAGGCGACGAUCCCUAGCUGGUCUGAGAGGAUGACCAGCCACACUGGAACUGAGACACGGUCCAGACUCCUACGGGAGGCAGCAGUGGGGAAUAUUGCACAAUGGGCGCAAGCCUGAUGCAGCCAUGCCGCGUGUAUGAAGAAGGCCUUCGGGUUGUAAAGUACUUUCAGCGGGGAAGAAGAUGACGGUACCUGACUAAGAAGCACCGG